GACAGAGGGUGCAAACGCUGCUCGGAAUUACUGGGCGUAAAGCGCGUGUAGGCGGCCCUGCAAGUCGGGUGUGAAAUCCCAUGGCUCAACCAUGGAAGUGCACUCGAAACUGCAGGGCUAGAGUCCUGGAGAGGAAGGUGGAAUGCUUGGUGUAGAGGUGAAAUUCGUAGAUAUCAAGCGGAACACCGGUGGCGGAGGCGGCCUUCUGGACAGUGACUGACGCUGAGGUGCGAAAGCGUGGGGAGCAAACAGG
rnacentral:rRNA from 1 species